UUGUUUUAAAUAUAUUUAGUCGUAAUGUGAGUAAUUUCUCAGUUUUUUUAGUGGUUAAUAUGUGAAAGAAAGACCGCUUUGUGUAGCGGCCCUGCUAGCACGUGGUGAGACAUGAUGGCGAAGAAAGAGCCCGAUUUGUGGCCAUGGUGAUUUUAUUCACUAACAUCCUGGAAAACUUAAUGUUGACCAAGAAAGGUGUGCACUGCUGGAAGAUGCAAAACUACGAAGUUUGCAGCCAGAAAGAGGUGGUCCACACUGACUGGACACCUCUGCAGAGUGUACUCCUCCAGGUGAUCCACACUGAUGAUGAAUGGUGUCCAUAUGUAUGCUGAAAUUCAGGCUGGGAUGGAGUCAGAUCGUCCAGCUACAGCCACACUGGCUCAGUGCUUCUUACUGUUAUAUUUAACUUGAGUAACAUGAACACGAGUUUUUGAUUUCUGUACUAAAUCUAUUAUGAAUCUAAAA